AUCCUCUCAGGAUCGCACCUGGAGAGUUUCCAGUACUCUACCAGUCUCGACUAGGAGAGGGAGAGUCAAGCAGUGGCAUACCCAUUCCAUUCCUAGCUUGGCCAGUGGCUAGUGAGUGGAAGGCAAUCUGCUACAAGU
rfam:Ornithorhynchus anatinus chromosome 4, whole genome shotgun sequence.